ACACAGACAUUGACAUUUAGGAAGAAGGAUUAUAUUAUAUUAUAUAAAAAUGAAAUAUUACAUGUAAGAAAGUAAAAUGUCGUAGAAAAUUUAUUUAAUCAUAUAUCGAGAAUUGCGAAAUUCGUUUAAAGAAAUGGCGACCGUACUACACAACAUCUUCUUAAUUUAAAGUCAAGCCGCGAUAUUUUGUCUAUAACUACGACGACUGAAUAAUUUAUUAAUUUCAAAUCGAUUCGACAUAAAGCCUGUAUCGAAAUAGCGACUAUACAAUGUGCUUCUUAAUUUUAAAAUCAAAUCGAAAAUUUUCAUAUAUCAAAAUGGCGACCAUAGUAUCGACGAAUUCUCCUACCUUUUUUUCUUCUCUUUCGAAUCAUUCUGUUUCGAACAAAACAAAAAACAGAAAAGAAAAAAGAAACAAAAAAAAAAGAAAUGGAAUAAUAUUCGAUAUCAGUCGAUACGUCAUAAAUUCAACGAGAGCGAUUACUUACAUCCUGGUUCUUAAUUUUAAAUCGUACCGCCGAAAAUACAUCCAUCAAGAUAUGGCGACCAAAAUCAAGAAAUACUACUUCUUCAUCAGAUCAUCACGGUGCAUGGUGUAUGGGUGCGAUACAACAAUGGAACAAAGAUCAAUGAUAAAACUCGUCGAAAAUUCAAUGACGACGAUACAUACGACCGGUGCGCUCUUAUUCAUUGAUUUUAAAUCGUAACGCAUCUAUCAAGAUGGCGACUGUUAAUAUCGACGAAUCCUUCCUUUUUUUUUCUUCUUUUUCUUUGUCUUUCUUUCUUGUUUCUUUUUCUUUCUUGCUUUUUUUUCUUUUUUUCUUUUUUCUUUUCUUUUUUUUUUCAAUCCUACUCGAAACAACAAAAAGUGAUAUUAAAAUGCGUCGUAAUAAAUUAUUCGGUUAGGUCGACGAGACAUUCGUUGUCAUCGAAAAGAAAACGAUUCGGUGAUGUUCGUUCGAGUCCGUAGUAAAACCGAAAGAGCCCGAUGCUAAAAGAAAGAGAGAAAGAGAGAGAGAGAGAGAGAGAGACGAUUUAGCCUUGAUUCAGAUUAUUUGCGCGGCUCUUUGCACGCCACACAUUUUAUGAGUGUAUAAGCCUGUCCUGUAUAUGUAUAUGUGCCUCGAUACCAUACUCGGACACGUAGAGAGAGAGAGAAAGAAAGAGAGAGAGAGAGAGAGAGAGAGAGAAAGAGAGAAUGAACCGAUCGAUUUUACACACCCAAGGGGAUCGCCAAAACGCGAAGAGUCGUCAGUACAUAAUCGUAAGUGCGAAAGAAAAAAAGACGCAAAGAGAGUAAAAAAAAAAAAUAAAAAAUUAGAAAAAAAAAGAAAGAAAGAAAGACAAACGAACAAACGAACGAACAAAUAUACGACCAAAAAGGUUGAAUUAAAAAAGGAUAUAUAAGCUUGUAAUAAGCGCAGAAGCUAUAAUUUCUCAUUGAUUUCUCUUUCGCGUAAUUUUUCGAUUUUCGGAUCUCUCGCACUCCUUCGAAGAAAUUCAUUCUCCGGCAUUUUGUUUGAGAAAGAAUGAGAAAGCGAAGAAAAAAAGAAAAAAAAAAAAGGAAGAAAGAGGAAAAAAUUUAAAGACAGAAAGAGAGUGAGAGAGAGAGAGAGAGAGAGAUGCGGAAUAAUUGUAUGCAAAAGUAAUGUAUGUAUAUCAGGAUACAUCGGUCUCUCUUUUAAUGUAGAUAAGGGAAGGAGAAAAAGAAUAUUUUCCCCAAGUUUCUAAAUAAAGAUAUAUAAAGAUGGAUUACGUUUUCCUCGUGCUUUAUCAUAAUAAUAAUAAUACAAAGGAAAAAAAAGAAGAAAAAAAAACAACAACAACAAUAACAAGAAAGAAAAGGAAAAAGAAAAAAAAAAAAAAGAAGAAAAGGAAGAAGUGUGUCGCGUCGUGUCCGAUAGGCAGAUUCAUGAAGUGGGCAAAAAUAAUCGAAGAAAAAAGGAAAAAAUGGAAGAAAAAGGAACAAAACAGAAGGAAACAGAAAAAGGAAAAUAUCUCGUUUGAUUUUAAACGAGAUCAAAAUAAUGAAGAAUAAAGAACGUAAUUUUUUUCCAAUGAUCUCUAGUUUACUCAGAUUUAGUAACGCACGCCAAAGAAAAAAAAAAAACAAAAAAAAUAGAGAGAGAGAGAGAGAGAGAGAGACAUAAAGAAAAGAAGAAAAAAAAGUCACGAUAUAAUAUUUAGAUCGGUUCCAUUAAGAAUAUUUCUCGGUAUACGGUAUAAAAAAAAAUACAACAAAGAGAGAGAGAGAGAGAGAGAGAGAGAGA